rnacentral:rRNA from 1 species
AGGACGAACGCUGGCGGCGUGCUUAACACAUGCAAGUCACGGGGGCUUCGUAAGGAGCAACCGGCGAACGGGUGCGUAACACGUGAGCGACCUGCCAUACCUGUGGGGGAUAGCCGGCCCAACGGCCGGGUAAUACCGCAUACGAUCUUUCGGGCGCCUGCUUGGGAGACGAAAGCUGGGGGGUAACCUUUGGCGCAGGAUGAGGGGCUCGCGGCCUAUCAGCUAGUUGGCGGGGUAACGGCCCACCAAGGCGACGACGGGUAGCUGGUCUGAGAGGAUGGCCAGCCACAUUGGGACUGAGAGACGGCCCAGACUCCUACGGGAGGCAGCAGUGGGGAAUCUUGCGCAAUGGCCGGAAGGCUGACGCAGCGACGCCGCGUGUGGGAGGACGCCCUUCGGGGUGUAACCACUGUUGCCCGGGACGAAAUCUCCGUUUGGGGAGACUGACGGUACCGGGUGAGGAGCGACCGGCUAACUCCGUGCCAGCAGCCGC